CCUACGGGGGACAGCAGUGAGGAAUAUUGGUCAAUGGCCGAGAGGCUGAACCAGCCAAGUCGCGUGAGGGAUGACGGCCCUACGGGUUGUAAACCUCUUUUGUCGGGGAGCAAAGAGAGUCACGUGUGGCUCAUUGAGAGUACCCGAAGAAAAAGCAUCGGCUAACUCCGUGCCAGCAGCCGCGGUAAUACGGAGGAUGCGAGCGUUAUCCGGAUUUGUUGGGUUUAAAGGGUGCGCAGGCGGCGGGGCAAGUCAGUGGUCAAAUGGCGGGGCUCAACCCCGUACUGCCGUUGAAACUGCAUCCCUUGAGUGCGCGAGAAGUAUGCGGAAUGCGUGGUGUAGCGGUGAAAUGCAUAGAUAUCACGCAGAACUCCGAUUGCGAAGGCAGCAUACCGGCGCGCAACUGACGCUGAAGCACGAAAGCGUGGGUAUCGAACAGGAUUAGAUACCCGUGUAGUC
rnacentral:rRNA from 1 species